rnacentral:lncRNA from 1 species
CCUUCAUGAUCAUAUAUUAAUAGGCAGUCAUUUGCUGGCCGACCUUCAUCUUCAUCUGCAUACACAAAUGCUUUCUCAGAGAAGUAGUUGUCUAGGAAGGCCAUGUUCACCCCUCCUUCUCGAUAUUCUUUUAUUGUUCCUCCAACUGACCCUUUUGCUUCCCCAGUUCCAGAAAUUCCUCCAGCUGUUCCGUAACCAGUACCAGUACCAUAACCAACUCCUGUUGUU